rnacentral:rRNA from 1 species
AGUCGAGCGCACCUUCGGGUGAGCGGCGGACGGGUUAGUAACGCGUGGGAACAUACCCUUUGGUACGGAAUAGCCUCUGGAAACGGAGAGUAAUACCGUAUGAGCCCUUCGGGGGAAAGAUUUAUCGCCAAAGGAUUGGCCCGCGUUAGAUUAGGUAGUUGGUGGGGUAAUGGCCUACCAAGCCUACGAUCUAUAGCUGGUUUUAGAGGAUGAUCAGCAACACUGGGACUGAGACACGGCCCAGACUCCUACGGGAGGCAGCAGUGGGGAAUCUUGGACAAUGGGGGCAACCCUGAUCCAGCCAUGCCGCGUGAGUGAUGAAGGCCUUAGGGUCGUAAAGCUCUUUCGCCUGUGAAGAUAAUGACGGUAGCAGGUAAAGAAACCCCGGCUAACUCCGUGCCAGCAGCCGCGGUAAUACGGAGGGGGUUAGCGUUGUUCGGAAUUACUGGGCGUAAAGCGCACGUAGGCGGACUGGAAAGUUGGGGGUGAAAUCCCAGGGCUCAACCCUGGAACUGCCUCCAAAACUAUCAGUCUAGAGUUCGAGAGAGGUGAGUGGAAAUUCCGAGUGUAGAGGUGAAAUUCGUAGAUAUUCGGAGGAACACCAGUGGCGAAGGCGGCUCACUGGCUCGAUACUGAC